rnacentral:rRNA from 1 species
AGCCAGACUCCUACGGGAGGCAGCAGUGGGGAAUAUUGCGCAAUGGGCGAAAGCCUGACGCAGCGACGCCGCGUGAGGGAUGAAGGUCUUCGGAUCGUAAACCUCUGUCAGCAGGGAAGAACGGUCACUGUGCUAAUCAGCAGUGAAUUGACGGUACCUGCAAAGGAAGCACCGGCUAACUCCGUGCCAGCAGCCGCGGUAAUACGGAGGGUGCGAGCGUUAAUCGGAAUUACUGGGCGUAAAGCGCUCGUAGGCGGUAUGUCAAGUCAAGGGUGAAAUCCCCGCGCUCAACGUGGGAACUGCCUUUGAAACUGUAGAGCUUGAGUGUCGGAGAGGGUGGCGGAAUUCCAGGUGUAGGAGUGAAAUCCGUAGAUAUCUGGAGGAACACCGGUGGCGAAGGCGGCCACCUGGACGACAACUGACGCUGAGGUGCGAAAGCGUGGGGAGCAAACAGGAUUAGAUACCCCUGUAAC